GUCUCAGUAGCUCAGGGGAUAGAGCAGCGGUCUUCUAAACCGCGGGUCGGGGGUUCAAAUCCCUCCUGAGACGCCA
rnacentral:tRNA from 4 species